rnacentral:rRNA from 1 species
AAUGCGGGACUCUAAGAGGCCCCGUAAUUGGAAUGAGUACACCUUAAAUCGUUUAACGAGUAUCAAUUGGAGGGCAAGUCUGGUGCCAGCAGCCGCGGUAAUUCCAGCUCCAAUAGCGUAUAUUAAAGUUGCUGCAGUUAAAAAGCUCGUAGUUGGAUCUGGGGCUUGAGGUCGCUGUCUAUCGUUUCGGCGAUGACGGUGAUGCUCAGCUCUGCUUGCCGGUGACUGUUGCGGUGUUCUUCACUGAGCGCUGUAGCAGCACGGCACGUUUACUUUGAAAAAAUUAGAGUGCUCAAAGCGUGCUUGUCGCUUGAAUAAUGUUGCAUGGAAUAAUGGAAUAGGACCUCGGUUCUAUUUUGUUGGUUUUCGGAGCUUGAGGUAAUGAUUAAGAGGGACGAACGGGGGCAUUCGUAUUGCGGUGUUAGAGGUGAAAUUCUUGGAUCGCCGCAAGACGGACUACUGCGAAAGCAUUUGCCAAGAACGCUUUCAUUAAUUAAGAACGAAAGUCAGAGGUUCGAAGACGAUCAGACACCGUCCUAGUUCUGACCAUAAACGAUGCCGACCAGCGAUCCGUAGUGGUUGCUUUAUGGACCCUACGGGCAGCCUCCGGGAAACCAAAGUAUUUGGGUUCCGGGGGAAGUAUGGUUGCAAAGCUGAAACUUAAAGGAAUUGACGGAAGGGCACACCAGGAGUGGAGCCUGCGGCUUAAUUUGACCCAACACGGGAAAACUCACCCGGUCCGGACACCGUAAGGAUUGACAGACUGAUAGCUCUUUCUUGAUUCGGUGGAUGGUGGUGCAUGGCCGUUCUUAGUUGGUGGAGUGAUUUGUCUGGUUAAUUCCGAUAACGAACGAGACUCUAGCCUGCUAAGUAGUGUUGCUAUUGUUAUAUGGUUGACACUUCUUAGAGGGACAUGUGGCAUUUAGCCACGCGAAAUUGAGCAAUAACAGGUCUGUGAUGCCCUUAGAUGUCCGGGGCCGCACGCGCGCUACACUGGAGAAGUCAGCGUGUGUUAUCCAAGUCCGAAAGGACUGGGUAAUCCGUUGAACCUUCUUCGUGCUUGGGACUGUGGCUUGGAACUAUUCCACAUGAACGAGGAAUUCCUAGUAAUUGCAAGUCAUAAGCUUGCGUUGAUUACGUCCCUGCCCUUUGUACACACCGCCCGUCGCUACUACCGAUUGAAUGGUUUAGCAAGGUCCUCGGAUCGUGGCCGUAGGGGCACGCAAGUGUUUCUGCGGUUUGCGAGAAGACGACCAAACUUGAUCAUUUAGA